CUUUUCCACGCGACUCUCUCCUUCCGGCUUCCGCGAACCCUCCUUCCUUCCCGCCUUCGCCUCGCCUCGCCUUACGCCCAGAGCUAUAUAUGCCGUCCCCGCCGUUGAUCCCGGCAAGGCACACGCAAGACACAACCGGCAACCCAACCCAACUCGGAGACGCGGACGAAGCAAAGGUAGAGGAGACAAUCUCUCGAGAGAAGAGAAGCGGACGGAAGCAACUGAUUUAUUUGGCCAUGGAGGCAGCGUAUUCGGCGCCGAGCACGUCGUCGACCUACUCGUUCCACUUCUCCAUGGCGCAGGCCGUGCUCACCAUCUCCCUCAACGUCAUCGCCAUCGGCCUCUCCGCCCUCGUCAAAUCCUCCUCCUCCUCCUCAUCGAGUUCGUCUUCCCGGCGCCGCGCCGCUGCAGCGCCCGCGGUGGCGCCGCCGGCGGCGGUUGACCUGGACACGGUUCUUGGCCUGAUGGGCGGCGCGGGCGGCGCCGCGCCGUCGGUGGGGUUCGAGGAGGCGUCCGCGCUGUUCGAGUAGGAGGAGGCCACCCUGGGGGAGGCCGCGGCGGCGUUCCGCGUCUUCGACCGCAACGGCGACGGCUUCAUCGACGCCGGCGAGCUCGGGAGCGUGCUCGCCUCGCUCGGGUUCGCCGCCGGCGCCGGCCACGCCGAGUGCCAGCGCAUGAUCGACGCCUACGACGCGGACAAGGACGGCAGGGUCGAUUUCCGCGAGUUCCUCAAGUUCAUGGAGACGGCUGCGGCCUAGGGAAUCCACAGGAUUCCCAUGGCGUCACUUCUCUGCAAAUUCUUUGUUCUUUCGUUCUAUUUUUCUCUUUAAUCGACUUCGAUCGCUCAGCCGAAUGAAGAACGGCAGCAUGUGUAUGCUUAUGAUCAGUUUAGGUGCUGUUUGGAUCAUGGCAUUACAAAGAGCCAAGAAACGGGUUGUGUUUUACUUGAACUGAAAUCGAUGGAAAUCGAAUUGAAAUGACAAUUUCCGUGCUUGGGUUCUAUCCCUGAAUCAAAUUCCUUACCCUUGGCUUAAAAAA